rnacentral:rRNA from 1 species
AUGAACGCUGGCGGCGUGCCUAAUACCUGCAAGUCGAGCGAACGGACGAGAAGCUUGCUUUUCUGAUGUUAGCGGCGGACGGGUGAGUAACACGUGGAUAACCUACCUAUAGGACUGGGAUAACUUCGGGAAACCGGAGCUAAUACCGGAUAAUAUUCUGAACCGCAUGGUUCAAAAGUGAAAGACGGUCUUGCUGUCACUUAUAGAUGGAUCCGCGCUGCAUUAGCUAGUUGGUAAGGUAACGGCUUACCAAGGCAACGAUGCAUAGCCGACCUGAGAGGGUGAUCGGCCACACUGGAACUGAGACACGGUCCAGACUCCUACGGGAGGCAGCAGUAGGGAAUCUUCCGCAAUGGGCGAAAGCCUGACGGAGCAACGCCGCGUGAGUGAUGAAGGUCUUCGGAUCGUAAAACUCUGUUAUUAGGGAAGAACAUAUGUGUAAGUAACUGUGCACAUCUUGACGGUACCUAAUCAGAAAGCCACGGCUAACUACGUG